rnacentral:pre_miRNA from 1 species
AAUUGCUCGGUUUCUCCGCUUUAGUCAUAACUACAGCGGAGAAACUGAGCAAUUCC